rnacentral:lncRNA from 1 species
GAGUUAUUGCCCAAGAGAGGGAUUUAUUUCCUGGCUUCAUUCUGGCUUUGCAAAGAAACAAUCAGCAGGAUGAUUUGAGAAAGGCCUGGAGAAACUUAACAUGAACUGAAGCUAAGUGAAGUAAGGAGAACCAAGAUAACAUUGUACACAAAAUAAGAUUAUUUGAUGAUCAAUUCUGAUGGCUGUGACUCUUUUCAGCAAUAAGGUGAUUCAGGUAUUUUUCUUACAUCUUUAACAAAUCGUA